UAUUGUCUAGCAGAUCUGUUUCUUGCAAAAAGCACGCACUGGUCCUGCAACAAUCAAAUAACAAUAGCAGGAAAAUUGUUCUACAGUUCCAUACAACUAUGGAACCACAUAAUAUGCGGCAAUGCAUAUGGCGAGGUCAAAUAACACCGAAGUGGGAUGUUGGUAACAGCCAUCUCAAAAGAAGUAAGUUCUUGAUCUGCCACUUCAGAA